CCCACGUAUACUUUUCUCCCUCCAGCCCGGCCUGUCAAGAUACAACCCGGUCUCUACGUAUUUGAAGGGUGGGAUCGGUGACUAUCUUCCUCCCAAAAUCCCAAGGGAGAAUCUCUAGGGUCGGGUGUCUGUCCUUACCUGAGCCUCCAGAGGUGAGCAAGAGUCCAUGGUGCAGGCUUACUGUCUGGUGGUCACCAGGUAUAACCAGCGGUCUGGGCUGGAGGCUAAA